UACAUAUUAAUAAUGGACUAAUGUGGUAUCCCCAGACACGUCUUAAAUGUCAAGAAACUAAGGACCUUACAAACUAAUAUCAUAGAUUGAACUUACCAAACUAAUUCCUUUAACAACAAUCUAUUGGAAUGGAAGUCUGGUGCCAGCAGCCGCGGUAAUUCCAGCUUUGAAGCUAAAGCGUAUAUUAAAGUUUUUGCGGUUAAAAAGCUCGUAGUUUGUUCUGCGUCCCUCACUGUCGGUGCACAGUUCGUCGGUGACACUGGCAUGACAUGGGAUGUCCUAUCGGUGGCGGCGGAGACCAUAUCGCCGUCGGAUAACACCGCGGUGUGAUGGCCUUCUGGUCAAGGUAGGCUGAAACGUUUACUUUGAACAAAUUAGUGUGCUUAAAGAAGGCAAAAAUCUAUGCCAGAAUAGUGGCGCAUGGAAUAAUGGAACAGGACCUUGGUUAUAUUCUUUUGAUCUCCGGUACACAAGGUAAUGAUCAAUGUGGACAGGCGGGGGCAUUCGUAUUGCGGAGUUAGAGGUGAAAAUCUUGGAUCGUCGCAAGACCCACUAUCGCGAAAGCAAUUGCCAAGUAUGUCUUAAUUGAUCAAGAACGAAAGUUAGAGGUUCGAAGGCGACCAGAUUCCUUUGAUGACUCGGCGGGGUGCUUUCCCCGGGAAACCAAAGCUUUUGGUAGGUUUCCCACCUUACUGACAAAUCACCA
rnacentral:misc_RNA from 13 species